CCUACGGGAGGCAGCAGUGGGGAAUAUUGGACAAUGGGGGCAUCCCUGAUCCAGCCAUGCCGCGUGUGUGAAGAAGGCCCUCGGGUUGUAAAGCACUUUCAGUGAGGAAGAACGCCUGGUGGUUAAUACCCAUCAGGAAAGACAUCACUCACAGAAGAAGCACCGGCUAACUCCGUGCCAGCAGCCGCGGUAAUACGGAGGGUGCGAGCGUUAAUCGGAAUUACUGGGCGUAAAGCGCGCGUAGGUGGCUUGAUAAGCCGGUUGUGAAAGCCCCGGGCUCAACCUGGGAACGGCAUCCGGAACUGUCAAGCUAGAGUGCAGGAGAGGAAGGUAGAAUUCCCGGUGUAGCGGUGAAAUGCGUAGAGAUCGGGAGGAAUACCAGUGGCGAAGGCGGCCUUCUGGACUGACACUGACACUGAGGUGCGAAAGCGUGGGUAGCAAACAGGAUUAGAUACCCUAGUAGUC
rnacentral:rRNA from 1 species